rnacentral:rRNA from 1 species
UUGAGCAUUAAAAAAUGCCUGGCACACGAUCUCGUCUGAUCUUGGAAGCUAAGCAGGGUCGGGCCUGGUUAUUACUUGGAUGGGAGGCCACCUAGGAAGAACAGGUGCUGUAGGCG